AUGUCAUUUACUUUUCUAACCUGCCUUUGAACAUACUAAGCACUGUGAUACAACUAACUCACACACACACACCACAGAUAAGAGGUAAUUCCUGCUAAAAGAAACACCUGACAGAAACUCACUGCCUGAGACAGACCUUGCUGGAUUCUAUUUUAUAAAAAAUUUGCUCCCAUCAUUUUUUCCUCCUAGGUUCCAUCAUCCUCUGAAGAACGCUGGGUUUCGCAGGCAGGCGGCUAGUCACCUGCAACAACCGAGGGGUCCCGCAGAAGCUUCCAGGCUGCUGUCCGUGUCAGACGCCAGGGUUUGAUCCGUGGACAUGGAUGAGAUGUCGUUGACAGAUGAGGAUGGAGGGAGGCUCUCACUGCUGUUCACUGCUGCACCUGUGCUACGAAAACGAACACCAACGUGAUUAAACCCGAAACCCCAGAAGGUGCCACGUGUUAAACCCACCUGGUGGUACGCAGGCCAUUUUAUCCAGUGGCAAACCUCAGCACGAAAUGGAUCAUGCAAACUUUAGACACUAGAUAAUAUUAAAUAUCUUACCAGGAAAUUCUGUCUCUCAGUCUGCUUUGAAAAGCU
rnacentral:lncRNA from 1 species